rnacentral:snRNA from 1 species
UUGAGCUUGACUCUAGUCC